AUAAUAAGAAGAAAGAGAUGGCUAACACUUCCGGCUUAUUGUGAGGAAACGUUCUUCGGCCAAGUACAUUCGCUAUUGUUUACAUAUUGUGCAUUACGUGAAAUGCGUCAACAGAUUGAGAACGCAAACUACAGAAUCUACCGGUGCCGCAAAAAGUUGGGUAAAAAACCCACACUAUCUCCAUCGCCUACUGCCAACAAGACCAACAGCAUGUACAACCGGUAAAGUAAAUGUUACCAGUGGGAGUACAAGUAGAGGACAGGCAUGAAGCCUGACGGCUGUGUGGGCGUUUAUAAGAAAGACUGCCUCUCCCUGCUGUCCAGUCACCCAGUGGAGUACUUCCGCCGGGGCAUCCCCCUGCUAGACCGGGGCAACCUGGGCUUGGUGCUGUUACUGCGUCCCAUGGGACCCUUCAGCCCAGAGGCCUGUGUGUGGCCAACACACACCUCCUUUACAACCCUGGGCAUGGGGACAUUAAGCUGGCCCAGCUGACUAUGCUGCUGGCAGAAAUCACAACAGUGUCCCGCCUCUCUGACGGCAGCUCUUAUCCCACCGUCCUCUAUGGGGACUUUAACUCUGUGCCCUGGUCCCCUCUGUACAACUUUGUUAGGGAGAGCAGCCUGGAGUACGACAGCAUUCCCAUAUGCAAGGUGAGGGCUUCAUCAUCGACAUGCCCAGGCUUAAUCUGCAGUGGGAUCAUAAGCUCUGUGGCUGAAGCUGAUUUCUACAGAGGGAACAUAAUAUUAUGGGAGUCCUGAUAUAAAAUGUGGGCUGUUAUAGAAUGUUUGUUGAGCUCCUCUCUGUGAAGUGUCAUCUUUCUGCAGUAUUUGUAGUUCAUUUUCAAUCUGGGUUGAAUGCCCUGUCUUUGCCAUAAAAUCAACUUUUAUUGGUCUCAUGCACAUGGUUAGCAGAUGUUAUUGCGAGUGUAGCGAAAUACUUGUGCUUCUAGAUCCGACAGGGCAGCAGUAUCUAACAGGUAAUAUCUAGCAAUUCCACAACACAACCUAAUACACACAAUCUAGCGAAGGAAUGGCAUGAGAAUAUAUAAGUAUCAAAUAUAUGGAUGAGCAGUGACAGAGCGGCUAAGAUGCAGGAGGUAGUAACGAAUAGAUAGUGAAAUUAACAGUGUACAGCAAGUUGCUUUACUAUGCUAGACAAAACUGUGUGAAGCAACAGAAUGUUUCCUGUGUGUGUGUGUGUGUGUGUGUGUGUGUGUGUGUGUGUGUGUGUGUGUGUGUGUGUGUGUGUGUGUGUGUGUGUGUGUGCCCAUUUGGCCCCAUAGCCUGGGCGUCACCCAGCAGUUCCAGUAUGAGACUGCCUACAGGUAACCCAUCAUUUUACCCCACACUCUCUCAGUGAACAGCUUUAGGCCAUUACCAACACUGAGGGAAUACCCUUCUUUCCUCUGAUCUGUAUGUGACGUUAACUCUUCUCUCCUCCCAGAUGGGGGUAUCUCCAACCUGUCUGUACAGGACUUUGAAGCACAAGCUAUGGCAACUAUGAACAGAGGGUCCAUUGCCCCAGGCGAAGGCUGCAGCUGCUGGCCAGACUGGCCCUGGUGGGACAGACAGACCUCGAGCACAACUCCUCUGACCAUCUGCUCAUACUGGCCCGCUUCCGCCUCUGCCCCUGAGACUGGAUGUCAAGGGUUAAGGGUCAGAGCCCCUCCAGGGUCAGAGCCUGGAGGUCGAAGAACUGGAGAGACAAGGGAAUUCACCCAUACCUCUCACCAGCAACCAAUAGCUUCUGUCUCUGUCUCGUUCAUAUCACCACAGAGAAAGACUUUAAUUUGAAUGACAUUUAUUGAUGAUCUUGCAACUUGGCAGUGGCCUAUCUCUCUAGUGGAUAGAUAUAGGCUACUGCGUCGAGAUGUUUACACUUUUUAUGUUAUUUUACAUUGGUUGAAGAUAUUAUGAAAAGAGACAUUUUUAUAGUUGAAUGGUUUUAAUAAAUGUUGACAUGAAUUCAUUUGAGAAUGUGCUGCUGAUAAGGAAUAGCACUGAGAAAUCUACAUGUUUUAUUCAUUAUGUCAUUAUACUACACAUACUAUUUGGUUUGAUAAUAUUGGUAUUGAAAAUGAAGGCUAUUAUGUUACAGCUAUUGUACCUUAUUUAACACAAUAAAAGACCUGCAAUUAAAGACUCCCUGUACAUGCAUAUACAGUGCCUUGCGAAAGUUUUUGGCCCCCUUGAACUUUGCGACCUUUUGCCACAUUUCA